GAGCACGUAGGUGGGUUUGUAAGUCAGAUGUGAAAGCCUUCUGUUCAACGGGAGAAUUGCAUCUGAAACUGCUAAUCUUGAGUAUAGGAGGGGAGAAUGGAACUUUUGGUGGAGCGGUGAAAUGCGUAGAUAUCAGAAGGAACGCCGGCGGCGAAAGCGAUUCUCUGGCCUAUUACUGACACUCAGUGUGCGAAAGCUAGGGGAGCAAACGGGAUAGAUACCCCGUAGCAGCUGAU
rnacentral:rRNA from 1 species